UUACUUUUAACGUCUAACUACUCAGUAAACAGAUGGACUGUGUAAGCCUGCCGUCUAUCCUUUCUCUGUUCCGAAAGCAGCAGCCUUUUUCUUCUCUCCAUACUUCCCUUUUUCUUUUAUUCAUUUAUUUUCUUUAAUUUAUUUAUGGGUGAUUUGGAUUUGGUAUAUUUCGAAAUUCGAAUAUUAUAGUAUUUGAGAUAAUAAUAAACUAUUACGAGUUUGAUAUUUGUUGAUAUUAUUUAUUGUUAUAGCAGGUAUGUGGUUGGAUUGGAUGUCUGCAGUGGAAGAUGCUCAUAUCUCAGGUUAUGCUGCUAAUUAAGAGUGAGAUGUAUUUUUUUGGAAACCUACAUCUCUUUAAUGGGUUGUCAUUAAUUUGGAUGGUUCUGUUAAUUCGGAGACGGGUCAAACAACUGUUGGAGGCUUGAUUCGAGAUUCAGCUAGCCAUGUGCUUUUGGCUUUCAGUUUGAGCUUGGGUGUAUUCUAUUAUUCGAAUAGAGUUGAGGGUUGUUGUUACAGGCUUUAAUAUUGCUUGGGAGAGAAGAUAUUGGAGAGUACAACUCCAGCUCGACUCCCGUUGGGCAUUGUAGUUGUACGCCAGGUGUCAGGGGUGAUUCACCAGCACUCUCCUGUCGUAAAUCAAAUUUAGGAGUUGAUGAAAAUCAGGGUGUGAGAGCAUGAGUUUAUUCAUAUUUGCAGCGAAAGCAAUUAUGCUGCAGACUACCUUGCUAGCAUGUAUUGGGCAAGAGAUGUCGUUUACUGUUUAUUUUUUUCUAUUUUAGAUCCUAUUUUGAUUUUAUGAUGUACUUGGUGUUUCAAAAAAUAAAUUGAUUAUGAAUGAAGGUUACCAUCGUGCA
rnacentral:lncRNA from 1 species